UGUGUUUCUCCCUAUUUUUGGGGCGAUUCUUCUAUCUUGUUUUCCUUGAUUUCUGCGUCUAGUUUAUCUGAUUCUAGAUUUGACUCGUUUAGAUGCAAUGCAAAUUUGUGAUGGUUUAGGAGUGUUUUCCUCGUUUGUUACAUCUAUGAAACCCUUGAAAAUUUGUGAUGCUCUAAGGUUUACUCAAAUGUUUGGAAAACGUCGUCCUUGCAUUCUCUAGCCAUCGCAUGCUCUACUAGUCUAGUUGAUGCUUAGUUGGUUCCUUUUUGGUAGAAUUUGGGGAUCUACUUUGUCUAUGCUUUCUUUCGAAAAUUAAAGUUAUUUUUUUCUUUUUCUUGGCAAACUUAUCUGUGUUCCAAAUCUUUGUUUCAUAUAUUUAGUUGGUUGAACUAAUUUAUUUAUGUAGAUAUAUUUUCCAUUUAUGCUUGUUUUUCUAUUUUGUUGAAUGGUGAAUAUUUUAGCGGAUACUUAUGGGUCAAUAACUUGAGCGGCAUGUCCUAUGCUUUGUGUGGAAAGACUAGAAGGGUAGGAUUUGUCCUCAUAAUUAUAAUUAAGUGAAAUAUGUUGGAAUUUUUUUUUGGCUUAAUGUCAUACCAAGGGAAAAAUAAAUAUCCGGUAGAAAAUUGAUCAGUUAAUUCAAUACAAUAAUAAAUAAAUAAAUGAGAGUUUGCACUUGAUCUAAAAUAAAUUACUACAAGCAAAUGAGAUAUACGAUUUAAAUAAUGAAAAAUCUGUCCUUGGGGCUACGGUGCAGCAGAAGGGUGUCAAGUUGUCACUCAGGCACCUGCAGUUUGAUCCCCAGUUACAACGCAUUUGUUGAGAUUUUUCAAUGGGGCAUGCAACCACGGGAUGCUGGGGCCGUGAGCGCUUCUCAAUUUACCCUAGCGGACGGUGGGAAGCUUCCAUAGGGAUAGGCUGGUCGCCCCAAGUUCGGGGUUACCUGGUUUAUCAUUUUUUUUUUAAAUAAUGAAAAAUCUAAUUUUUCACAAUUCCAUCCAAAAUAUCUUGAAAAAAAAAAUAAAACAAGAUCAGUUUGUUGUGAUCCAAUCCAAAAUGAUUGUAAAUUGAACCAAUUUCCCAACCAGAUUUGUUUCUACCCAUUAUAGCUUGUUUUCUUUGUAAUUUCAUGUUAGGACAUUUUUAUGUGUUGAUAAACAAUUGCUUGUUUACUUUUAAAAGUUUAUGGUUCAUUUCUUAUCCUAUGCCUAUGAUAUUGUGGGCUUCUUGCUCUAUCACAUGAUUGUGUAACCGUUUAUUGGAAGGAAGGGAACUAAUCUUGAGAAAUGUAGUAUUUUAAUUAUUAUUUGUGCCUAUUUUUGUUGUUCCUAUCUUGAUAGCAUCUGAACUUGUAUCAGUUGGUUCUUGCUACAUAGUAUAGAUAUGUGAUAUGAGAUACAAGCUCUUAAGAAAUUCACAGUUUGGUACGUUUAGCACAGAUUGGAUAGACAACUACAGGACUAUUUUCCACAAGUUAGCGAUUUGUAUUUCUACCCUUGUAUCAUUGUUCAUUCUUACAAUAAUUUAAUCAGUUAAUUCUUAAUAUCAAGCUGAUUGAUUUAUGACCUUGUUAUUCAGGGGAGAUCAGGUUACCUGUUUGGACUGUCACUUAUUGCUUAUAAGUUGCUAUUUAAUCAUCUCUUGUUUAUCUAUUUCUUUAGAUCUUUAUGUAUCACACUGAAUUGUGUUUUAGGACUUUAGAAAUUGUGUUUGGGUGGUUUGUUGUCCUGCCCACUCGAUUUUUUCUCUCUUUUUUGAGUUGAACCAGUCAAUGAUCUAGAAAAAUACACAAAAUGAAUGGACCAAACUGUCCUCCAAGUCCUUGUUCAACUGACCAUUCUUAUUUAAUUUUGAAAAUAUUGCACUUUUAUUGAUAAUUAUUAUAAAUCAUAUAGUUGUAAUCAAGGGGGUUUGUUGGCUUCAAACAACACGUCUAGAGUGUGUAUCUGCUGAGAUGUUUUUUUUGGAAACAAGAUUUAUAAUGAAUACUAAUAACAAGAAUGAACAUAAUUGCAGAAAAUAAAAUUAGCUUGGGCUGAAAGAUACAUUUGCCAUGCAGAAUUAGAAGUAAUUUAAUACAUAUAGAAAGUAUAUAGCUUAUCUAGUUGUGACUUUGAAGUUAAACUUCUACUCCCCAUUAGGAUUAAUUAUUAAAUUAAUAUUCACAAAUGUGCUAAAAAUUAUGGCUAAGGUACUUCGGACAUUGGAUGAUAUUAUCAUCUAGUAUAUAGCCUAUUUCCUUAAGAUAUAUUCUCCAUUGCCUUUCUUGGCAUUCAUUGCUUUUGUUGCUCAUUUUAAAGAAGAUGGAUUCAUGGAAUUGCAACAAUGAUGUUGGAUUACAAAGCUGAGGUUCCUUUAAUGAGAAUUUUACUAUUACCAACAUUUCUCAUUAGGUUAUGAUUAUUGAGAUUUAUGUUAUUAUAUAUAUCUUGGUUUCAGAAAAUAUGAAAUGUAGUUUCAAAAGAAUGGAAGGGCUGAUUAAGAUGGAUGAAUAUGAGAUUUUGUUAGUAAUUUUUUUUUGAUAUGUUGAAUCUAUUAUUCAGACAUCAUUUAUAGGAUAAUGGUGCUUUGUUGAAAUGAAGAGAAGCUUCCUGAGUCUUGUGUGACUGUCAUGUGGUCCUUACAUUAAAAAUAUUAUUACACUAUUGCUCCACCAUCUAGUCUUUAUGAAUCUAAGUGUUGGGUUGUUUGGAAACAUGUAGAAAAAAAUAUAUAGCAUUGAUGAGAAUGCUAAAAUAGAGCAAUUUGAUGGAGCUACAAUAUGGGAUAAAAUAAGAGAAAAUAGGUUAAGAAGAUACAAACAACUUCAAAACAAUCCAUAAAUUUUUAUGCAUUUUAAUCUUAUACUAGUUGAAUCAAUUAGAGUGCAAGAUGCAAUGGGUAGUGAGAACAAAAGAAAAUUCUUGCUAACGUUAUAAGAAAACUAAUUUAAUUGAUUUUGAGCAUUAGAGCUCAAUGGAGAGAUUUGAUUCAUAUUUUGGCCCCAAAUAGUUGGGCUGAAUACAGCUUGAUGAUGCUAAUUCUGAUUCUGAUGAUGAUAUCUUGGAUUCCUUCUGCACCUCUUCUCUCUGCUUCUCUUUCUCCAUUUUUUUCUUUCCUUUUUUUUCCAUCAGUAUCAACCUACUCUAGUUGAGGUUAUUUUAUGAUGCAACUUCCCACAAGAACCAAUACUUAACUAUCAUUUUAGGAAUGAUCACAACGUUUUAUGGUACAUUUGAGUUAUUCUUACUGGGCUUGCUCAAAUGAUGAAAGGUAACUAUAACCUGUUUCUAACUGUCUUUAAGCUUCCCCAUUGAAUCUGUUUUAGCUUAUGUAUGAUUUUGAAUGUAACUUUAUUGUUUGGUAGAUAAAGUUUCAAUUGAGUUAUAAUUAUGUUGAUGCAUGAUCAUAUAAACUUAUCUGGUUAUCAGAAUCCAAUUUUCUGACAUAUUGUUUGAUAGUUAUAAUGAUGACCACUUCUUAAAUGUUCUCGCUUGGACUCCCAUGCAUUCCAUGAGUUAUCAAUUAAAAAUCAAUUUAGUAUUUUAUCAAAUGUAGAGAAGCAACAUGUUUUACUCUGGUAAACACUGGUAUAACUUUUGCUUAAAUGCAUUUGAUGUUGCUAGGUAAUUAAAACUAAAAAGUAAUGGAGUUUUUAGUUCUUUUUAAGCUUUUUUGAAUAAGUAGGUGAAUUUUAGCCUGGAGUGUCACAUUUUGGAUGUGUCAUGUGUCUACUUGCCCUCCUUUAUCAAUCUGAGCACAAUCACCAUAGUUGUGCUACUUAUUUUCUCUGACCUAAUGUUGUGUUUUACUCAGCGUUCUAAAAUGCAGCCGCUUAGGCGGGAGGCAGACAUCGCACUGCCUUUGCCUUGAGCGGUACUUUAGGCGAUCAAAGCUAAGGCGAGACGGUGGGUACGCAAGACAACCAAUGAGGCGGGACAACAAAAUUUAAAAAAACAUACUCCCUUUCAAAACAUAAAUAACUCCACAACUCAAGUCAUCUACAACUCAUCUCUUUUUGUCUGGAACCGCCACCACUGCACCUGGAGACUUGUAGUUGUUUUGCCACUGCAACGAGUCUAGGUGUGUCACCUGGCCCAGCGACGAGUCUGGAUGCGUCGCCCAAACGUGUCGCGUGAGCCAAAACAAGGGUAAGAGGGCCAGAGUUAGGUUUUUAACUUAGGAUUUAGGAUUUAAUUAAAUCAUUUUAGGUUAAUAAUUUUAAUCAACCUUAUAUAUAUAUAAAAGAUUAAUGGCGGAAAAUGAGAAAUAAUUGGUUGUGGAACUGAAGCAAAAGUUUAGUAAUAUUGUUUGGGAUUAUGGGGUGUUGUAUUGCAAAGAAAAAUGAGAUUGGAUUAUAUGUAGAUUGUGUAAGAGACUUGUUAAGGGAGGAGUUUAUUGGAUGAAGCAUCAUACUGCGAGUAUUGUAGGAUAAGUUAAAGCAUGUCUUAAAGUAUCCGAUGAAGACAAAAAAAGAGCUUAUCUUUAAAAUUGCAAGAAUAAGAAGCGAGGAAGGGUGGAAGAACUAAAAGAAGAGAGGGCAGAGGUAAAUAUAGACUUUGUAGAGAAUGAUGAUUAUCAAGUGGAGGGAGAUUUUUCUAAAAAGAAGUCAAAGCAUCUUGGACAUAUUGGUAAGUGGGCAUCUACAAUCGAUCCAACAAAAGCAAGACAAUAAAACAUAAAUGAUUCAUUGAAGUUAAAAUUUACAAAUGAUGUGUAUGAGUACCUUGUAAGAUGGAUUUAUGGCGGGAAUUCUUUUUCAUGCAAUUGUCAAUCAAAGCUUUAGACAAUUUGUAGAGGCGGUUGGCCAAUUCAGCUCGGGCUAGAAACCGCCAAGUUAAUAUUCUUUUGAGAGAGCCACUUUUGAAAAAAGAAGUUGAGAGGACUAAAUUAUCUCUAAAAACAUGAAGAAGAGUGGAUGAAAAAUGGAUGUUCAAUUAUGACCAAUGCAUGAAGGAAUUAUAAGAUGAGAAGCAUUAUGAAUUUGUGUUAAUUGCAAAGUAGACACUUUAUUCCUUGGUUCUAUUGAAGAAUCUAUGAAGGCACACAUCGGGGCUUACAUCUUCGAGUUCGUGGAAAAUUAUAUCAAUAAGUCCUUAUAUUGUUCAAGAAGUGAUGGAUAAUGUGAAAUGUUAAUAUGGUGGCGGCAAAGUUGUUGAAGGUUACUCGACCUCAAUUUUUUUGGGCCUCUUGUGCGACUCAUACAAUUAACUUCAUGCUUGAAGCAAUUCAAAAACUACCCAAAUUUAGUGGAAUGCUUGCAAAAGCAAAGGCCUUGACAAUAUUCAUCUAUGCACAUCAUAGAAUUUUGGCUAUUAUGAAGAAAUAUACCAAGAAGAGGGAUACUGUGAGGUUGGGGUGACUAGAUUUGCUACUUGAUUUUUGACCUUAGAAAGUCUCAAAGGAAGAAACAUCAAUUGAGACUUAUGUUUACAUCCGUGAAGUGGAGCAAAACAAAAUUAAGGAGUAUUGUGAAAGGGAAAGCGGCGAAGGCAAUGAUAACAAAUCUCUCUUUUUGGAAUGAUGUUUCUUUGGCUUUGAAUGUUUUCACCCCUUUGGUGAAAGAUUUAUGCCUUGUUGAUGGUGACAAAAAGUCCUCAAUGACCUUUUUAUUAGCCAAGGAAGAGAUUAGAAAUUCACCCUUUUAGUGAAAGUUUUACGCCUUGUUGAAGGUGACAAAAAACCCUCAAUGACCUUUUUAUUGAGUGCACUUAAAAAAGCGAAGGAAGAGAUUAGAAACGCUUUCAAAAAGGAAGUAAUGUCACCCCUAUUUUGAAAAUUAUUGAUGAAAAGUCUAAGAGUAGACUUAUAGUCCUUUGCAUUAUACUGCUUACUUAUUGAAUUUGGUUUUUUACAUCAACAAGCAUACAAAAUGACACCAAUGUUAUGAAUGAGUUCUUGAAUGGUGUUGAGAGAAUUUUUCCACCAACGAGGAGAUGCAAUCCAUCAUUUCUACUGAUGAAUUGUAGAAGUAUAAGAGUAAAUCCACAAACUUUGGAAGAAAAAUGGCGGUCGUGGAAUAUGAGAAGGUGGAUGUGUAUCAUGACUUUGAUCUGAUACAUACCAAACAGAGGAAUAUGUUCAAGACUUCAAGAUUGAAUGAUCUUGUAUAUGUCAAAUUCAACGCCAACCAAUCUUACGAAGAAGAAGAGUAAAAGAGAAAUGAGCGGAGAUUUGCUUCUAUUGUCUCAAGCUAAGCUAGUGAAAACUCAAGGUUGGCUUGUUGAUGGUGGUGAUGAAGAUGAGGUCGAGCCAGGUUCGACACUUGGAGAAUGAUGGCGGAGGCCUCGGGAGCGAAUGAAGUGUACAACCAAGGAGGAAUGCAAGGAACAUCCUCAUUAGAGAACUUGAUGAGGAUUUAGAUACAACAAAGGAGGAGAAUGAAGAUGUUGCUUUUGAGUCCGAUGAUGAGAGGAUUAUGGAUGUAGUUGAUGGUGCAUGUGUAGAUGAUUUAGAAGAUUAGUUAUGUUUAAUAUAGUUCUUGUUGGCUUGUUGCUAUGUUGGAUUAAAAUUUUGAAUUUUAAACUUAGUCUUUUGUAAAA